rnacentral:lncRNA from 1 species
UCUACACUUGGUCUCUUCCUCUCCUCCUCUCUAAAACCUUCUAGUUCUUCUCCGAUGGCCUUCACCAUCUCUCCGGCCAUUUCCAGCCUUACCCCUUUCGACCACCAGCCGUUGUGAAGCCUUAUCUCGCAUAUUCCCUCUAUCCUUGAGGCCCUAGGAGCCUCCACUAUAUGAGAUGGUCACUGAAAGCUUUGCCUGGUCUGCCUCUGGACUUUUUCCGAUAGGUUUUGGUCUGAUGGUGCCAUGAACACCCUCUUACUGGUUUCUUAUGAAACCCUAAUCUCUACCUAGACCUCUUAAAUCUCUGUAUUUUUUUAAGGAUUUUAACACACACCUUUAUGUUUUAAACUACUCUCUACUCGAUCUUUACAAUUGCCCAAGUUUUAAACGUUUGGUUCCUUUAUUUCUUAAAAAAAAACGAGGGUUUUUGAACCCUUUUUUGAAAUUACUUUAUUUUUUGAUUUUUGAGUACUAUAUGUUUGUGCUUCAAUUAUUUUCUUAUUUGUAUGAUCUUCUAGGUUAUUCUCCGAGUUCUAUGCUUUAAUCUUGUUGUUAGGGUUCCAACCUUCUACUGUUUCAGUGAUUUCUUGCUUAGGGUUCUCUGAUUUUCGUACCUAAUGUGUUUAAUAGGUCUAAUUAUUCAUUGUUUAACAAAUAUUCUGCUAAUUCUGUGCAUCUUUUCGAAUCCCUAUUUUUGUGUAUGUUUUCAUUAGAUGUUUUUCACUGAUUUUGAAUCAGUUCCUUAUUUGUGAGAUGCUUUCAUUGCAUAGAACUAAUUCCUUGUGAUUUCAGUCUCAUCCGUGAUUCUUUGACUAAUUUUCAGAGUUAAUUUAUAUUUUUGCCAUAUUUAUGCGCAUAAACAUACUUUCAAAUAUUCAGUAUAUAAUUUACUUAUUUGAAAUGUUAUGUAUUUGGCACAUAUUACAUGUUACAUGCUUUACUACUCCUAUUAUGGUAGAGUAAGUGAUUCUUUCCUUAAUGGAAAUAACUUGUACUUAUUCAAAUCAUGACUUCCUAAUUAAAAAGAGUUUGGUCCUGUGAUUGAUUCCAAUUGGUAUUGUUUCCAUAAUUGUGUUAAGUUAGUACUUGUUACCCUAUUCUUUACUUGUUUUCAUGACAAUAAAUACUCUACCCCCUCGUUUGCAUGAGGAACAACUACAAUAUUCUGAACUCUCUUUUACACACACAAGCAUACUCAAUUUUUUCUCUUACUUUCCUGCAAAUUCUCUCUUGCUUCUCUUAUUGACAACUGGUUACCCAGUCAGCUGAAAGCCAAGACUGAAUAAUUUGUUACUCUACUAUUUUAUUACACUAUACAUUGCUUCUCUCUUGGUCUGCACACACUACUAUACUUCCCUGCACACUACUUCUCUAUUAUCUCACUCCUGACUGGUAUGUCUUGUAUUUGAUUUACAGCUUCCAAAACAACAUGUUUUUAUGUAUAUUGCACUUUCUCUUAUUUCUUUUAUGCUUCUAUUUAUGGUUCUUCUAUUUUCCUUGCAAUUAGCGUGCCUUUGCUAGUUAAUUGAUGUGAUUACCCUUCUCUUAAUUCAGUAUGUCUGCUGCUUCUCUUACUUGUUUAAUGUAGUUCUUCCUUACUCCCCUAACCCCAGUACAUUAUCAUCAUGUAUUCAUGACCCUUUCUAGCUACCAAGUAAUCCUGAACCUCUUCCAUGAACAUUUUGGGGUGAAUGUGUUGUGAAUGUUUCAGUCCUGAAAUGCCUCCUCUAAUGUCUACGUAUGUGAGACUAUCCUCUUACAUGUGAACUACUUGUCUCAUUUCCUCUUCCCCUGUUUGUAUUUGCUUUCUUGAACUAUGUUUUAUUUUCUAGUUCUGAGAUUUUUCUACUCACCUACUUACAAAACUGUCACACUCUUGUACUGCUUUCUUUUGAGAACUCAUUCUAUAUAGAUCAUUUUUACUGUUUCUCUCAACUAAAUUUUUUUAAAACUAUAUCACACACUCUCACUUCUCUUAGAGAUUAGGUUCUACUCCCUUCGUGUAAGCCUUGUUUUGGGUACCUCUGAGUACUUACUAAACUUUGAUUCACAAGGAUGGUAAUUCCAUACUGCACUAUUUCAGCAUGUUUUAUAAAUGUUUGAGUGCUGGUAUUGGCCAGGGACCCAAUGGGUCCUUAGGGAGCUUUGCUGUACCCAGUCCAUGGCAAAGGCUGUGAAACUCGAAAGGAGUAAGGUUGGAUGAUUGGGCCUAACAAAAGGCUCCCUGUCAAAUAACUUCUAUUUUUUAUUCUUUAUUAUUGUAAUUCCGCUAUUUAAAUGAAUGAUUGGGGUUAUAGUGAAAUUGCCUGGGGUUAUGCAUGCUUAGUUCAAGUAACAGGUAGAAAACAUAUUUAUAGGAUUUUAUUUUCUUAUUUGCGCAAUAGAUAUCCUAUAUAGGACAUGUAUCUCAUACAUUAGAGAUCAUGUUUUAGGUUCUUUACUUUCAGCAUGUUAUUAUGCUCAUUUCGCAAACAUGAUAAGUUAAUAACAUGCCAAUAACUGUAAAAGACUACUGCUGCAUUAGCAUUAGCAUUUAGAGACAAUGUUUUAGGAAUUUCUAUGUGCAUUAGACAUUCUGUUACUUAGGUUUUUAUUUUGCCUGAGUUGUAAUCAUAAACACCUCAUUAGUAUGUUAAUCUAACGAUACAUGUUUGGUUAACUGUAUUAAAACUGGAAAUCAAAUAUGCAUGUUCACCCCCAAAGAUAAUUAGGCAAUGGAUACGACACCUAAGCAAACUUUAGGUCUAACAAGAAUCAAUUAGCCAUGUUUUGACUGGUUUUAACUAACCAGCCUCUUUAAUUUGAACUCUGUCGCUCCCAUUCUUGCUUUGACUCUCCGAAGAUCACUCUGUUUUUUUAUUUUUUGAAAGUUCACUCUUUUUUUACACUCUGAAGUUCACUCUAUUUUACUGAAAAUCUAUCUCUAUCUUGAAACAAGUUUUGAAAUCGUGUAUCUACAUACUCUUACUGAUUUUCUAGUUCUGGUCCUAUUAUGUUUUUUACAUACUGGAUUACCUUUUCUGCCCAGAAUCGUGCUGUUUCGAUACUUGUUUAGUUAAAGUACCGUCUCUACCCAUUUCAAACUAUGUUUUAAUAUUUCCCUUAUCGUUUACUUACUCAUUUGCUGUCACUUAUUCUUUUUCUUUAAGACUUCUAUCUUUGAGACCUUAAAUGUUUUUGAGACGUGCUGAUUACGUGUCUUACUUGUAGAGGGAUGUGUGAGCUUUUAUUUAACUUUGUGUGUUCCCUUAAUAUGCAGUCCUACUUGUAAUGUAUGUCGCCUAGCAUUUUACCCUUUAAACCUAAGGGUUUAGCCUAGUCCUCACCUUGUAGGAAUAGUGGUCCUAAAUGCUCUCUCAGACUUAUAGGAUGGGACGGGUAAUAGCACGCAAUUAGCUUUCGUGACCAAUCCAUGCGUUUUAAAUAACCUUUACGGGAUGUGAAGGGUAGAAUAUUGAGAUGAUGACCGAUGCGCUAAUAUCUCACGUAUCCCCUCUUCUGAGGAGUGAUUACUGGAUAUUACAUUGACGUGAUCCAUAUUACUUAUAAACCUAGG